AUUAGCCAGAAAAGUACUGUGUCUUACCACAGCAAGGGAGGAGCUUUUCCUCGUGACCUUCUGAAUGCCAAGGGAGUUACAGUGAUUUUUCUUUAGCUCUGCUUUUAGUUACUGCAGCAGAAACCGCACUAAAAUAUUUCUAUUCUCUUGCCUUUAUUUUAUGUCAUUUUUACAGCUCACUUUUUAUGAACAGGAAAAUACCUUUUUUUAAAAGAAAAAAAAAAGUAAAAAGUGAUGAAGCACAAAUGUCUGUCUGAUAUGCUUUGUGGUCUGUUUCCUGCUGCUGUGACCCAUGAUAAAUUAGUUCUGAUGUCUUGCUCUGUCGGCUGAAAGUAACUCAUGGUGUGACAAUGACGAUAAAACUUCCAAACGUUUGGUGUAUGUUUAGGCCUGUAAUACCUUAUUUUGCUCAAGCUUUAUUCCUUAUCUUGCUUAAGUAUUGCAAGUGUAAAAAUCUUUCAUGGCUCAAAGAAUAUACGGUUUAUCUUUCAUGCAUCCUCACUGCAUGUCAUGUGCUGACAAAAUGAAGUGCUAAAGGUGCAUCCUUACUGUGCAAAUCCAAAGAAAACCGGUUGUACAAAUCAGCCUUUUUUACUAGGACACGUUUAUAAUCAUCCAGAUGUAGCUGCAGAGAUUGUUUUGACACUUUUAUCUUUUUUUCUUUGAUAUGGUCUUACAAGCUCUGGCAUGAAGAUAGCUAUAAAGCAGCUGGAGAAUGGCAAAUAUCUGUUAAAAAUCAAAUAUGACAUGUUCAUCCUGAAUAGGAAUGUGCUUCUCAGUUAUACAACUAUCGUGCUGUAUUUAACUGCAUUUACAAGACUUGUCUUGUUACCUUCUUGGGAGUUCACACUCCCAAGGUUAUUCGACACUCCCUUAGGCUAUAAAUUAUGGGCACGUGCCUACUGAAGUGUGAUUUAUUAUUUUUAUAAAAAGGCCCAACCCUUACAUCCCAUGUUUUGCUGGAAAGAGGCUUCUUUGUGCACCAAGCCUUUAAAUUGUGAGCAACCAUUUACUUACUGAUUUCGCUUUUUUGGAUCGUGUUGCUCAGGGAUCUCGGUCAACUCCUCACACCAUGAAGGGUUUUACUCUUCUUUUCCUAGUUGUUAUCUGUGGCAUGGGAGGAUUGGGACAGAAGCUGAAGCCAAAGAGAAGAAGCAAUGGUGAAGAAAUCAAAUUUCGGACUAAAACCAAAGACGUUUGCACAAUGAGCAUUAGUGGGGACGAUGAGGAGAUGAAACUUAGAAUUGAAUGCAAAAGCCAAGACAUGUCCUACUGGUGUGAAUUCACUGGCAAGCCAUCAGUCUGUCGUGCUUUCAGAAAUAAUCCAAAGAUUUACUGGAAUCAGAUCGCUGCAGAACUUAGGAAGAUCCCUCAUGCUUGUGAAUCCACAGAAGUGUUGAAGACCUCCAUGUGCCAAAAGGCUCCUCCAGAGGCUCUCAUGAAGCAAAUAGCUACUGGUGUGGAGCCAGAAGAGCUAGCAAACCAGGAAGAAUCAGUGCAGAAAAUGUCCAGUUCUAUGAGAGGAGCAGGGCAAGGGUCUGAAAAUGAAACAGAAGCAAUGAAACUGGCACGGGAACAUUGCUGGGAAUCCCUGCAUGGUUUCUGCUCCUACAUUAUUGGCAUCUUUAGGGGUUAAGGACUCACUUCAGGUAAAAUUAGCAUCUGGAAGCACAGUAGAAUAUACACAACAGUAAUUCUAUUGUACUUUUGUUUUAAAUUUACUUUGGGGAUCUCUCAGGGAUGUGGACAGGGAGAUUCUAGUCUCACUUGCUAAAAUCUGACAUUGCAAAUCCUGUUUUGUGGCUUCUGAGGGGCUGGACUAAACUUUCAGUGAUGCCUAUUAGUUCAGGAUUCCCUUACAGCCUCACAUUGAGGUCUUUAGUACAUACUCAGAUGUUUGCCCUAUCUGUUGUUGUUAAUCUUACAGUAUUUCCAUUCUAACUGUUUGAAUUGGGCUAAUUUUUCUCCUUCUGUCAUUCCUUCCCUUCUGGAUUUAUCCCAGGGAAGUAAGAUAAAUAACAAAUGCAUCAGAUCCAAUAACAAAUGCUGCACCAGCUAGAACAAAUUAAAACUACAUUCAGAAACUGAGAGGAUAAAGUUUAUUCAUCAAAACUGCUAGUUAAUAAUCAACUAUUUUAAUUUCAACAAUUAGUUAAGAAACAACUUGCAGAAAUGAGUAAAACCAAAUGGACUGUCCUGGUUUGUGGGUCUGUUACUGUAGGGUUGACAAGAGAUCACAUGCAGGUGCUUGCCUGAGCAAAAUUAUUACAGCUGAAGAAGGGUCCUUGCUGUAGUUUAAUAAUUUAGACAUAAGAAUUUUGGUUUAAAAACGAAUUAUUUCUGUUAAUCUUGUAGGUGUUUUCUUUCUAUGCCCCUAAAAUGAAACUUUUUAACAGCCCUGAAAAAUGCAUGAAACUGGAGUGACUGUGUUUAAAGUGUUAGGAUGAACGAACUGUCACUAGACCUGUUACACACCCAGGUGUGCAUUUAAAUAACAGAGGUUCUGCUUUAGGAGUGCUGACCUUGCAUAGGUUUUUGUAUGUGCUGAUUUGCUUUAGUUUGUUAGAGAUGAAAGCUGUUAAUGAUGAUACAG